UAAAGCUACAAAGAGCUAAUGGGGAAUGCCUUGGUACUGACAGCCGACGAAGGACGUGUAAAGCUGCGAUAAGCCACGGGGAACUGCUAAAAGGUCUUGAUCCGUGGAAAUCCGAAUGGGGAAACCCUCCAGAGUUAAAACUUUGGAACCCGUAACUGAAUACAUAGGUUGCGCGGAGGAAAGCCUGUGAACUGAAACAUCUUAGUAACAGGACGAAGAGAAAAUAAACCAAUGAUUCCGAGAGUAGCGGCGAGCGAAAUUGGAAGAGCCUAAAUUGUGUGUACGUGAUAGCCUGCAAGCGUUGUGCACAUGAGGUUGUGGGACUUGCAUCAUAUUUUGCAGAAUAUGGAUUGAGUUAGAAAAUUAUUUAUUAGUUAAAGUCAACUGGGAAGUUGCGCCAUAGAGAGUGAUAGCCUCGUAAACGACAAUAAAUAAUCUCAAGUAAGUAUCCCGAGUAAGGCGGGGCACGUGAAACCCUGUCUGAAUCCACCGGGACCAUCCGGUAAGGCUAAAUACUAGUCAGUGACCGAUAGUGAACGAGUACAGUGAUGGAAAGGCGAAAAGAACAGUGAGAAGCUGAGUGAAAUAGACCCUGAAACCGUUAGCUUACAACCAGUCAGAGCACAAUUAAUUGUGUGAUGGCGUGCCUGUUGAAGAAUGAGCCGGCGAGUUAUUUUUUGUUGCGAGGUUAAGGAGAUUAUAUCCGGAGCCACAGGGAAACCGAGUCUGAAUAGGGCGUUAAGUAACAGGAAAUAGACCCGAACCUUGGUGAUCUAACCUUGACCAGGAUGAAGCGUGGGUAACACUACGUGGAGGUCCGAACCAACCGAUGUUGAAAAAUCGGUGGAUGAGUUGAGGUUAGGGGUGAAAUGCCAAUCGAACCAAGAGCUAGCUGGUUCUCCCCGAAAUGCGUUUAGGCACAGCGUUGGAUUUAUCUUGCAGGAGGUAGAGCACUGGUUUUGUGCGGGCGUCGAAAUGAUGUACCAAACAAUGUCAAACUCCGAAUACCUGUAAUGUCAUUAUCCAGCAGUGAGGCUAUGAGUGAUAAGAUCCAUGGCCAAGAGGGAAACAGCCCAGAACGCCAGUUAAGGUCCCUAAUAUAUGCUAAGUGGUUAAGGAGGUAGAGUUACUGAGACAACCAGGAGGUUGGCUUAGAAGCAGCCAUCCCUUGAAAGAGUGCGUAAUAGCUCACUGGUCAAGUGACUCCGCGCCGAAAAUACACCGGGACUAAAGCAUAUAACCGAAGCUGCGUCAUAUAGUUUACUAUAUGGGUAGGGGAGCGUACUGUAGUAAGACGAAGCUAGAGUGAAAACACUAGUGGAUGAGGCAGUAGUGAGAAUGUCGGCAUAAGUAGCGAAAACAUUGGUGAGAAUCCAAUGCACCGAAAACCUAAGGUUUCCCACGGCAGGCUCGUCCGCGUGGGGUUAGUCGGAUCCUAAGCUCAGGCCAAACGGCGUAGGCGAUGGACAAUAGGUUGAUAUUCCUAUACUAUCUGAUAAUCGUUAUCAGAAGCGGAGGGACGCAAGAGGAUAAGCACGCAGUCGAAUGGAAGAGACUGUAUAAGCGUGUAGCUAGGUUUGACAGGAAAAUCCGUCAAAUCGUUAAUGUGAGGCGUGAUGUGGAGAGUCUACGGACUCGAAGGUGUUGACUCCAAAUUGCCAAGAAAAUCUUCGCUCUCGAGAUUAUUGGGUAUCCGUACCGUAAACCGCCACAGGUAGGUUGGUAGAAAAUACUAAGGUGCGCGAGACAACUCUCGCUAAGGAACUCGGCAAAAUCACCUCGUAACUUCGGGAGAAGAGGUACCCUGGUAGCGUGAAGCGAUUUACUCGUGAAGCGUGAUAGGGUCGCAGUGAAUAGGCCCAAGCGACUGUUUACCAAAAACACAGGUCUCUGCUAAGUCGAUCAAGACGAUGUAUAGGGGCUGACGCCUGCCCGGUGUCGGAAGGUUACGCGGAAAUGUUAGAAGCAAUUCAAAGCAUCGAAGCUAAGCCCCGAUGAACGGCGGCCGUAACUAUAACGGUCCUAAGGUAGCGAAAUUCCUUGUCAGGUAAG
rnacentral:rRNA from 1 species